ACUCCUGCGGGAGGCAGCAGUAGGGAAUCUUCCACAAUGGGUGCAAACCUGAUGGAGCAAUGCCGCGUGAGUGAAGAAGGUCUUCGGAUCGUAAAGCUCUGUUGUUAGAGAAGAACACGUGCUAGGUAACUACUAGCGCCUUGACGGUAUCUAACCAGAAAGUCACGGCUAACUACGUGCCAGCAGCCGCGGUAAUACGUAGGUGACAAGCGUUGUCCGGAUUUAUUGGGCGUAAAGGGAGCGCAGGCGGUCUGUUUAGUCUAAUGUGAAAGCCCACGGCUUAACCGGGGAACGGCAUUGGAAACUGACAGACUUGAAUGUAGAAGAGGAAAAUGGAAUUCCAAGUGUAGCGGUGAAAUGCGUAGAUAUUUGGAGGAACACCAGUGGCGAAGGCGAUUUUCUGGUCUAACAUUGACGCUGAGGCUCGAAAGCGUGGGGAGCGAACAGGAUUAGAAACCCUUGUAGUCCCAUG
rnacentral:rRNA from 1 species